GAUGAACGCUGGCGGCGUGCCUAAUACAUGCAAGUCGAGCGAAUGGAUUAAGAGCUUGCUCUUAUGAAGUUAGCGGCGGACGGGUGAGUAACACGUGGGUAACCUGCCCAUAAGACUGGGAUAACUCCGGGAAACCGGGGCUAAUACCGGAUAACAUUUUGAACCGCAUGGUUCGAAAUUGAAAGGCGGCUUCGGCUGUCACUUAUGGAUGGACCCGCGUCGCAUUAGCUAGUUGGUGAGGUAACGGCUCACCAAGGCAACGAUGCGUAGCCGACCUGAGAGGGUGAUCGGCCACACUGGGACUGAGACACGGCCCAGACUCCGACGGGAGGCAGCAGUAGGGAAUCUUCAGCAAUGGACGAAAGUCUGACGGAGCAACGCCGCGUGAGUGAUGAAGGCUUUCGGGUCGUAAAACUCUGUUGUUAGGGAAGAACAAGUGCUAGUUGAGUAAGCUGGCACCUUGACGGUACCUAACCAGAAAGCCACGGCUAACUACGUGCCAGCCGCCGCAGUAA
rnacentral:rRNA from 1 species